UAAUCAUACACACUUGUGCACCAAUUGUAGGUUAACUCGAAAGAGUUUCACCUAUGUACUUCUACAUCACACUUUUAUACAUCGCAUGUCUAUAGAAUGCUUUUAAAUCAUAUAUAACUUUCAGCAACGGAUCUCUUGGUUCUCGCAUCGAUGAAGAACGCAGCGAAUUGCGAUAAGUAAUGUGAAUUGCAGAUUUUCAGUGAAUCAUCGAAUCUUUGAACGCACCUUGCGCUCCUUGGUAUUCCGAGGAGCAUGCCUGUUUGAGUGUCAUUUUAUUUCUCAACCAUGUCUUUUUAUCUAAGACAUGGAUUGGACAUGGAGGUUGCUGGCAGCUGCAAGGCUAAAUCAGCUCUUCUCAAUUGUAUUAGCGAUCAGUUUGAAAAUGCAAGUCGACCUUUUCAUCGACAUGCCAACUAGCCUUUGACGUGAUAAUCGUCCCGUCGUAGUGAAUUUUUGGUAUUGCAUCAAUAGACUUUCGCUUCUAAUUACACUGUACUUAGCUACUAGUUGGGGCUCUCAGCCCUAGCGAACGCGGUACUCCAUUUCUAUCACUUGACCUCAAAUCAGGUAGGACUACCCGCUGAACUUAAGCAUAUC
rnacentral:rRNA from 1 species